UACAGAGGGUGCAAGCGUUAAUCGGAAUUACUGGGCGUAAAGCGUGCGUAGACGGUGAUGUAAGUCGGGUGUGAAAGCCCCGGGCUCAACCUGGGAAUGGCAUUCGAGACUGCAUCGCUAGGGUGCGGAAGAGGGAAGCGGAAUUUCCGGUGUAGCGGUGAAAUUCGUAGAUAUCGGGAGGAACAUCAGUGGCGAAGGCGGUCACCUGGACGAUAACUGACGCUGAGGCUCGAAAGCGUGGGGAGCAAACAGG
rnacentral:rRNA from 1 species